CUUGCUCUCAGAAGGCCCAGCGGGCCCCGCUCUGCAGAGCAGGCCUGAGAACCUCACCCGGGGACACGGGCCUGCACAGCCAUCGUGCUGUGCUUCGGCUCUGAUGGGCAGGGCCCAGCCCAAGGCACGCGGGUGGACGUCCAAGGUGAUGUUGGUGGGAUGGCAGUAGAGAUUGAACCUUCCCACCAGCAUCCCAUUACAUUUUGCUGCUGCGUAAGAGAUGGAAGGAAGCCUGACGGAAUGGCGCCUGGCGUGCAAGUGUGUGUGAAGCAAAGCCGUGUCAUUGAGUUCUCCCAUGCUGGUGAAGAUGCACAGCUAGAGUUUCCAUAAUAAAUAAUGAGGAGGCGUUACUUCUGGAGCAACCUGUCUAUUCCUCAGUCAUCGAAGGUGCUGAAAAGCAGAUAAGGCUGCACGCUUGCCUCCUCGUCAGCCACCCCACAGUACUGCUGGUUACACCGCUGGUGAAUGCUAACGUCAAACUGAUUUGCUCCCAAGAAGCCACUGCUGCGUGCUCCUGCAGGGAUGCUGCGGGCUGCCCCCCGCUCUCUGCUGUGCUUUGUGUGCUCCACGGGUGUUCUCUCCCUGAAGCAGUGGUUACGUGGGAUUUGGGGCUCCCUUUCCAACCCCUCCUGCGAAAGGAGAGCACAGUUCUCCCUGAAGCAUUUCUGCCUUCACAUAUGUGACUUCCACGGUCAGCGAGGGAAAUUGGAGACCUGCUGGGCAGAUAUUGGUAUUCAAGGCACGUGCAGAAGAUGUGUGCAAGACUUAACCAGGCUUCUACUUGAAUUUUGUCUGGGUAACUUCCAGGUAAAGGGAGUGCACACAUCUGGCCCAGGUGGCCCAUUCUUUACUGCUGGUUCUAGGAUGGUCAGGAAGGCAGCUCAGGUUUAUUCCAGCACAGUGUUCAUGUGGUGUGGUAAUGGAUGUUAUGGGCAGGAGAAGGAUGAGAGUCUAAGGCAGCAAACAGUAAGAACAGGUUUAAAUAGAGGUCAUUGUGAACACAGUAAAUUACUGAUUGGUUUUGUUACUACAUACUGUGCAGAAACAACAGAGGAGUCAUCACGUUGCUGUGAAAAUACACAAGAUGUGUUGUCAGCAAUAGCUGCAGUGAUUGCUCGGUGGUGUCCAGAACCAGAGAGAAGGAAAGAUCUUCAGACCAAGAUGGAAACAGCCGGGGUUCCUUGGAAGAGCUGAGCCUUGAGGGCAGGACUAAGACUUCGAAAGACGGUGAUGGCCGUGGCACCUCCUCCUGGGUUGAGUUUAUCUGUAUUUUAUCCACAGGGUGGCACAUGGACCUUCCUGGGGAGAUCUGAAUGGUAUCACAGCGCAAACAGCUUUUGUUCGGGUAGCCGUAGUUCAGGCUGAGGCACAGCUGCCCCAAAAUAGAGCCCAGACAGACAACGCCGAGGAUGGCUCGAGGCUUUGGGAGGACAUGGCAGAGGGAACCUUACCCUGUGUGGGGCACACAGAGCCUCGCCGAUGCUACACCUGCGCAGGAAGGAUAGGGGUGAUUUCCAAAUCAAUGUACCGGUGCUCAUUUUUUGUUUGUUUGUUUGAUUUUUGUUUUCAAAACCUGUGCAGGGCUGCUGGGUUGAUGUCACCACCGCUUUGUCUGGCUUUGGCCUGAGGGGCAGGAGGGAGUCUGGUCACCCCCGUAAUCCCAGCAGCCUCCAAUGGCAACGACAGCGCUCGGAUGAAUGAAGGCAGCAGCACUGUGCAAAUUACCUUUUCUUUCUUAUCCACAGUAAGACAGAUAAUAAUCCUCCUACGGGACUAAUUACAGCCAAUGAAAAUAACUCCCACUGCCAGUAUUUGAAGGAUAACCACUUAGAUGAAAAAGAGUGAAAAAUGAUUAUUAUUUUGUGCGUGGCUCUCUCUCGCCCCAUCUAUUCUGACCUCAGUAAAUCACAGUGUAAUUAAUCACUGAGGAUUAAACACCGCAGGGAAAAGAGUAGGAAAUUAUGUAUAAGCAAAACUUGAAAUGACUUUGACUUACCAUAAAUUUGGGUUAUCUGUCUCACAGAAUACAAUUCCUAGGCUGCCUCUUAUGGAAUAAAUCUAUCCCGACCUGUGUCCAUGAGAACUGUAUGAAUAGUGAAGACUGGAGUAUCGCUGGGUGUGUAAGAAACUAAUCAAAAAAGGCAGUGACUGUGGAAGAUGUGGGUUGGCUCUUCGGGCAUUCCAGCAGCAGAAAAAUGCACAGAGAUCCCUCAGCAGACAGGGUAGGACUUAAGUGCUCAUCUUUAAAGGUGGAAACCAGCCUCAGAGAGACUAGACAUUAAACUUUAUGUUUAACAAAGUGAAAA
ensembl:lncRNA